CUUUAUGGCGGGCCGUACGGGCAGCCUUCGGGCUGGCCGGUUUUCUCUUUUUAGCCGGUAUUGCUCCCCCGUACAGCCUGCCACCUUU
rnacentral:antisense_RNA from 1 species